rnacentral:misc_RNA from 1 species
GAACCAAGAUGAGACCUAACAACCAUCUCACCAAUCUCUCUCUCUCCCCUCUUCCUAACCAGGUUCAAUCUAAUCCACACAAAUCAAGUGGACGUGUAAUGGAACAUAGCCUGGAAGAAGCUGAAAAACGGCUCCGUAUGUCGGGCAACGCAGAAAGAGAUUUUGAUCUUGUUCGUGGAUGGAUGCAUUCGGCUAUUUCAAUGAAGGAAAUGGAAGGUCUAGAUGCCAUGCUUAAUGAUUUUUCGAAGGGCUAUUUCAGUCUCUCCCUUGAGAACCGGCGUAAAUUGCUUCUCCUGCUUGCCAAA